rnacentral:tRNA from 1 species
UAAGUGAAAGCCAACUAGGCACCUAUUUGUUAAGUAGGCCACUGCUUUCCCUAAGCUCACUUAG